rnacentral:rRNA from 1 species
CAGUCGCCACGGUAAUACGUAGGUGGCAAGCGUUGUCCGGAAUUAUCGGGCGUAAAGGGCUCGCAGGCGGUCUCUUAAGUCUGAUGUGAAAGCCCCCGGCUCAACCGGGGAGGGUCAUUGGAAACUGGGAAACUUGAGUGCAGAAGAGGAGAGUGGAAUUCCACGUGUAGCGGUGAAAUGCGCAGAUAUAUGGAGGAACACCAGUGGCGAAGGCGACUCUCUGGUCUGUAACUGACGCUGAGGAGCGAAAGCGUGGGGAGCGAACAGGAUUAGAUACCCCUGUAGUCCCUGUCUCUUAUAC